AUGCACUGGUCCAAUUUCCGUUCGCCCCAUUGGACUUUGUUUGAGUUGCCGAUUCUAAGAAACCAGUCCUUCCAUCCCUUGGUAGGGCUGGGCCAGGAACGGAAAGUGUCUUUCCACAGAUCUAGGGAGAAGUUCUUGGCUCUAAAUGGAAUCCUAUUUGUUUCUGCAUUUAUCAGAUCGGUGGGAUCUGGGUUUCCCAAUGGACUGAGGCACUAGAAGUGAGGUUGAUCGGUAGGAAUCACGAUCUUAUCGGCCAACUCCUAAAGGGUUUGGAGAACGAAGAAACAAAAGAAAAAAAGAGAAGAAAAAGAAAGGUACUCAGUAAACAAAAGUAUAAAGAGGGAGAGGGGUAAGUUGACCUCAGGGACGACGAAGUUGACGGCCAUUUCUUCCCAGAUAAAGGAAAGAAUCAAAGACUCGGGGGAUUGUUGGAGGAAGCUCUUGCUGGAGUUCUUGAUGUUCUCGAACAGUGCCGCCGCCAAGAGGGUGGAUUUGGGGAUGUAGAAUGACAAGAUGGAGGAAGAGUACCGGAGAAGGAGGUAUUUAUAGGACAAAAAGGCAGGGGCAAAUCUGACUUAUCUCUUUACCGCAUCCAUGAAAUCUGAGGGUGUUCAGGUGGAUAUGGUAACUGUUCCACGAUUAUCAAGGGAUUGUGCAGGUGAUUUGGCAGCAAGCGGUCGUUUUAAAGAUAUCUUACUGUGCAACAUCUCCUGGUCGGCCCAUCGGCAGCCUUCUAUAACGGUAAUAUUGCCGAUGAGCGCGUUCUAGGGAGGUUUGGUUCGAGAAGUUGAGAAAUUCGAGGAAUCUGUAGG
rnacentral:lncRNA from 1 species